rnacentral:rRNA from 1 species
UACGGGGGGGGCAAGCGUUGUUCGGAAUUACUGGGCGUAAAGGGCUCGUAGGCGGCCAACUAAGUCAGACGUGAAAUCCCUCGGCUUAACCGGGGAACUGCGUCUGAUACUGGAUGGCUCGAGUUUGGGAGAGGGACGCGGAAUUCCAGGUGUAGCGGUGAAAUGCGUAGAUAUCUGGAGGAACACCGGUGGCGAAGGCGGCGUCCUGGACCAACACUGACACUGAUGAGCGAAAGCCAGGGGAGCAAACGGG